rnacentral:lncRNA from 1 species
UUACAAUGAUACAAUAGAGUAUACUAAGCCAAGAAAUUCAGUUACACUAAAACACGCAUCAAAAUAUUGAUUGAGACUUUGAGAAUAUGCCCACAUCACUUAAUUUUCUCCCUAUAGCUAGCUUAAUACAGAGUACUGUAUUAGUAUUCAGUGAUACUUUUAUUUAAUAUUGUCUUUAUUCCUAUAGCUCUAUGACACUCCACUCGUAUUAUCGUGUAUAGAUGUAACUAAUUAUCUAAAAGUAUAUUAUUUACAUCCAUAAGAAAUGAUGAACGAGUAGAAUGUCUAAAGUAUUGGUACGGGAGUUCUUCUGCAACCAAUAAGUAGAAAAGCCCCAUUACUCCGGUGUGUUCUUU